rnacentral:lncRNA from 1 species
CAGGACAAGUCCACUCCCCAGGGACCCCCUGCUCUCUAACAGGAGGGGCUUGACAGCUCACCUCUGAAGCCCCUCCAGGGUGACCCAGGGCUUCCUCACACAGGGCUUUCUGUGGCCACUGCAAGGCCUCUGCUCUGUCUUUCUCGUCCUGACCUGUCCUAUCCUGUCACCUGACAGGGAGUCACAGCUGGGGAGCCUGUUUAGGGCUCCUUAAGAGAGGACACCCUGAGCUGUCCCUGUGGCCAUUUCUUCAGCCCCCAAGGGAGGGAGGAAAUCCUGCUCCUCAGCUCCUCCACCUGACCUGGUCUUCUCUGCCUCUGCUCCUGAGGGGGACCUCAGGGCUGGUGUCCUCAGAUCUCCUGCCCAAGGACUCUCCCUCCUCACACCCUUGCAGAUGUGGUCUGCACACCUUGCCCAGGAGGCCAUGUUGCAGCUGUGCCCUUUAGACCAGCUGAUGAAAGCCUCUGCCAGACCUUGAGGUUCCUGUUCAGCACAAAACACUGGCUUCCCUGCAGGACCCUCCUACAAUGCUGGCAGGGGGACACAGACACUGUGGUGACCACAAUGACCUCAUCAAAUCCCUGAGGAUGGUCUGAAAUACAGGCUGUCAGAGCACCCCAUUGCGCUGUUUCCCCAUGGGAUAGCAGGCUGUUUCUCUGGGUACUGCAUUAAACAGAGCACUUAAAUGUACUGACCACCACUGUACUGACAGCCAGCAAGCGCCUGCUGUCCAUGCACAGAGAAACCAACACGGCACCAGGUUUUGCAAGAAGAAAGAACUUGAUAGUUGCUCCCCUGACAGGGAGAGAGGAGGCAGGCACACUCUGUCUCCCCAGGGAGCAGGAAGGGACUUAAGGCAGGGAUGAGAAACAGAAGGCCAGCUGGCUGGAGUCGGGAGUCUUGGUGGCAUGGUCCACACCAGGUGCCCUGGGCCUGGUGGAACCUCUGGGUACUUUGUGAGUGCACUGGUCUCUCUGACCCCAUGCUCCCUCCUGCAGCUGUGGCUGCACCCUGGCUUCUAACCCAGGUCCACAAGACCCUCUUCUGGUUCCUUGGCUUCUCAUCCUUGGAGACUUUUGGUUCCUCUCAGCUCUCUAGGUCUGCAGCUGCAUCCUGAAAAAACAACUUGCAAAGAGUUUUUACAAACAGGGAAGUUGUGGUGUAUGGCCCAUUUUCACACCCAGAAUUACAUAUUUAAAUGUGUUAAACUCUGAUUAGGCUGGAUGACCACAGUGCUAAAGGAUACUUGUAUUUUGCUUAUUAAUUAAAGAGGGAACCAUAGGAUGUCACAGCCCUUUCAAAGGGAGAAUGAAGGGCACCUCAGGCCAGUGGGAAGGUUGAGAGGCAUUUAUUAAUAGAUACCCAGGCUCACAGGGCUGGAUUGUCUCUGGGCACACGUCAUUUCCAGUGCUUACCUUGGGAUGGGGCACAAUUUGCUUUCAUUUGAAAACUCCACAACUUGGAUACUUGUUUUCAAUGU